rnacentral:lncRNA from 1 species
UUAAUAUUUUCUAAAUAAAUUCUUAACACUAAUAGUUUACGUGAUACCAUUAGACGAAUGUCUGAAUGAACAAUAUACACACACACUUUUAGAAAGCCUGACCGCCAUCAUCUCCUUCCCCUCAUCUCACUCGUCUAAUGGUAGCCAUCCGAGGAAGCCAAGGUGGAGCGGCUGGAUUUGCAGCUGACAUCUUCAUCUUCAUCCCUUGCUGUGUCUUUAUCUUUGGUAGCUGUCGAUCUGAACCAUCCACCUCGACUUCCUCGGACAGCCAUCACCAUCACCAUCAGACAAGUGAGAGAAUGAGGAAAUGAUGUUAGUCAGUUUUUUUCAAUAGUGUAU